rnacentral:rRNA from 1 species
UGGGGAAUAUUGCGCAAUGGGGGGAACCCUGACGCAGCCAUGCCGCGUGAAUGAAGAAGGCCUUCGGGUUGUAAAGUUCUUUCGGUAUUGAGGAAGGUUGAUGUGUUAAUAGCACAUCAAAUUGACGUUAAAUACAGAAGAAGCACCGGCUAACUCCGUGCCAGCAGCCGCGGUAAUACGGAGGGUGCGAGCGUUAAUCGGAAUAACUGGGCGUAAAGGGCACGCAGGCGGUUAUUUAAGUGAGGUGUGAAAGCCCUGGGCUUCACCUAGGAAUUGCAUUUCAGACUGGGUAACUAGAGUACUUUAGGGAGGGGUAGAAUUCCACGUGUAGCGGUGAAAUGCGUAGAGAUGUGGAGGAAUACCGAAGGCGAAGGCAGCCCCUUGGGAAUGUACUGACGCUCAUGUGCGAAAGCGUGGGGAGCAAACAGGAUUAGAUACCCUGGUAGUCCACGCUGUAAACGCUGUCGAUUUGGGGGUUGGGGUUUAACUCUGGCGCCCGUAGCUAACGUGAUAAAUCGACCGCCUGGGGAGUACGGCCGCAAGGUUA